rfam:Anaerocolumna jejuensis DSM 15929 genome assembly, contig: EJ31DRAFT_scaffold00023.23
UAGGUCCCAAGGGUUGGGCUGUUCGCCCAUUAAAGCGGUACGCGAGCUGGGUUCAGAACGUCGUGAGACAGUUCGGUCCCUAUCCGGCGCGGGCGUAGGAUAUUUGAGAGGAGCUGACCUUAGUACGAGAGGACCGGGUUGGACUGACCUCUGGUGUACCGGUUGCACUGCCAAGUGCAUGGCCGGGUAGCCAAGUCGGGAAGGGAUAAACGCUGAAGGCAUCUAAGCGUGAAGCCCCCCUCAAGAUGAGAUAUCCCAUAGCAUAAGCUAGUAAGACCCCUGAAAGACGAUCAGGUGGAUAGGUUAGAGGUGGAAGUGCAGUAAUGCAUGCAGCUGACUAAUACUAAUAGGUCGAGGGCUUGACCUA